CACCAAAGCUAGGGGAGCCAAGUGAGCUUGGCUGAGAGGGCGGACCGAUCGAUGCCGCUAACCCUCAGAACCUGAUCUGGUUUAUACCAGCGUAGGGAAGCGUUUGACGAUUGGA
rnacentral:ncRNA from 2 species